UUUCCGUAGGUGAACCUGCGGAAGGAUCAUUCAUAAUAAGUGUUUUAUGGCACUUUUUUAAAUCCAUAUCCACCUUGUGUGCAAUGUCAGGGUUGAUUUUUCUCUCGUGAGGAUCAACCCCAAACAUCAACUAUAUCUCAACUCUUUGUCUGAAAAAUAUUAUGAAUAAAACAAUUCAAAAUACAACUUUCAACAACGGAUCUCUUGGCUCUC
rnacentral:misc_RNA from 1 species